CGGAGCUCCAGGUGGUCCGCGUGCAGGGCGCGGACAGAUCCGGCCGGCCCGUCGUCCGGGUCGUCGGCAAGUUCUUCCCCGCUCCUGUUAUAGAUGGUGGACGUCUGAAGAGGUAUGUGUUUCACAAGCUCCGCACCGAGUUGCCAGAGGGUCCGUUCUGCAUCUUGUACGUACACACCACUGUACAAUCUGAUGAUAACAAUCCUGGAA